CCUACGGGAGGCAGCAGUGGGGGAUAUUGCACAAUGGGGGAAACCCUGAUGCAGCGACGCCGCGUGUGGGAAGACGGUCCUCUGGAUUGUAAACCACUGUCCCCAGGGACGAAGAUGACGGUCACUGGGGAGGAAGCGACGGCUAACUACGUGCCAGCAGCCGCGGUAAUACGUAGGGAGCGAGCGUUGUCCGGAAUUACUGGGUGUAAAGGGAGCGUAGGCGGGGAUGCAAGUUGGGUGUCAAAACUACCGGCUCAACUGGUAGUCGCACUCAAAACUGCAGCUCUUGAGUGAAGUAGGGGCAGGCGGAAUUCCUGGUGUAGCGGUGAAAUGCGUAGAUAUUAGGAGGAACACCAGUGGCGAAGGCGGCCUGCUGGGCUUUUACUGACGCUGAGGCUCGAAAGUGUGGGGAGCAAACAGGAUUAGAUACCCUUGUAGUC
rnacentral:rRNA from 1 species